rnacentral:rRNA from 1 species
GAUGAACGCUGGCGGCGUGCCUAAUACAUGCAAGUCGAGCGAACAGACGAGGAGCUUACUCCUCUGACGUUAGCGGCGGACGGGUGAGUAACACGUGGAUAACCUACCUAUAAGACUGGGAUAACUUCGGGAAACCGGAGCUAAUACCGGAUAACAUGUUGAACCGCAUGGUUCAACAGUGAAAGACGGUCUUGCUGUCACUUAUAGAUGGAUCCGCGUCGCAUUAGCUAGUUGGUAAGGUAACGGCUUACCAAGGCAACGAUGCGUAGCCGACCUGAGAGGGUGAUCGGCCACACUGGAACUGAGACACGGUCCAGACUCCUACGGGAGGCAGCAGUAGGGAAUCUUACGCAAUGGGCGAAAGCCUGACGGAGCAACGCCGCGUGAGUGACGAAGGUCUUCGGAUCGUAAAACUCUGUUAUUAGGGAAGAACAAAUGUGUAAGUAACUAUGCACGUCUUGACGGUACCUAAUCAGAAAGCCACGGCUAACUACGUG